UGAUCUCGCUAAAAGCACGAACCGAUUCAGCCACAUUGACAGCUUUAGCCAAAUCCUCAAAUCUGGAGUCAAUAAUGGAUUUCAUUCUUUCCACAAACGCCUUCUCAAAUAUUUCAUCCCAUAGGUUCAAAUCAUCUUCCAGAACAAUCUCCCGGAUUCUAUUCCAAGGCAGCUCUACCUCAGACCCAAAAACACUCUUAAGCCAAUCUAAACUACCCCUCAAGACAUCUUUGCUAUCCAUGGUCUCUCUUAUCAACUUCUCCGCUGUCCCAAGCUCUCCACCAGUAACAAUAGCUUCAAUCAAAUGCUUCCCAUUAACCUUACCAACAAUCUGCCCACCACAUUCCCUCAACCAACUCAGGCAAGCUUUAGAAAUGUCAGUUUUAUCAAAAAUGACCAUGACGGAUUCCAAAUUAUCCCUGAACAAUUUCCACAACGCAACCUCCUCUUCCGGAUUCGGAAUCCCACCAAACAGUUGAGAAGCUGGAGGGGUACUCAAGAUAGAAAGUCACUUUCUUCAGGUGAUGUUUUAUUUCCGGCAAUAAGACCAAGUUUCUUUGCGUUAGGCUCAAUGAACCAGACACCACCACCUGUAGAUGGUCUGUUUAAGUAUGCUUGGAAGUUGAUCUUCUCACCAGUGAUCUCGCUAAAAGCACGAACCGAUUCAGCCACAUUGACAGCUUUAGCCAAAUCCUCAAAUCUGGAGUCAAUAAUGGAUUUCAUUCUUUCCACAAACGCCUUCUCAAAUAUUUCAUCCCAUAGGUUCAAAUCAUCUUCCAGAACAAUCUCCCGGAUUCUAUUCCAAGGCAGCUCUACCUCAGACCCAAAAACACUCUUAAGCCAAUCUAAACUACCCCUCAAGACAUCUUUGCUAUCCAUGGUCUCUCUUAUCAACUUCUCCGCUGUCCCAAGCUCUCCACCAGUAACAAUAGCUUCAAUCAAAUGCUUCCCAUUAACCUUA
rnacentral:lncRNA from 1 species